GUGAGGAAUAUUGGUCAAUGGACGGAAGUCUGAACCAGCCAUGCCGCGUGCAGGAAUAAGGUCCUAUGGAUUGUAAACUGCUUUUAUUCGGGAAUAAACCUCUUUACGUGUAGGGAGCUGAAGGUACCGAAGGAAUAAGCACCGGCUAACUCCGUGCCAGCAGCCGCGGUAAUACGGAGGGUGCAAGCGUUAUCCGGAAUCAUUGGGUUUAAAGGGUCCGCAGGCGGGCUAUCAAGUCAGAGGUGAAAUCCCACAGCUUAACUGUGGAACUGCCUUUGAAACUGAUGGUCGUGAAUUAAGUGGGCGUUGGCGGAAUAUGACAUGUAGCGGUGAAAUGCAUAGAUAUGUCAUGGAACACCGAAAGCGAAGGCAGCUAACGAUACUUAUAUUGACGCUCAUGGACGAAAGCGUGGGUAGCGAACAGGAUUAGAAACCCUUGUAGUCC
rnacentral:rRNA from 1 species